rnacentral:rRNA from 1 species
UAUCUUUGUCGUGAACAUACAAAACGACUCUCGGCAACGGAUAUCUCGGCUCUCGCAUCGAUGAAGAACGCAGCGAAAUGCGAUACUUGGUGUGAAUUGCAGAAUCCCGUGAACCAUCGAGUCUUUGAACGCAAGUUGCGCCCCAAGCCAUUAGGCCGAGGGCA